UGGAGCGUAGCAGCAGCAGCAGCAGCAGCAGGUCGACGCUAGCGGUUCCUGAUCCUCUUGCUAGCGGCGUCUCGUUUUCGCGCCGCGUUUCUCGUAUGUUCGUUGAUUUUUUUUUUCUGCUGCUCGUUUUUGUUUUUGCUUCAAUUUAAGCAAAUUGAAGAAGACUGGAGAAAUCUGACGAGGCUACAGUGAUGUGUUUUCGUACGAUGAUAAGCGGUUAAAGGCGCGGACGUGGUCAGGGCGAAUGUGAGGGGGAGAGAGGAGACGCGGUCUGUCAGAAAGAUGGAGCCGAAAUGGGUGCAGACAUACGAGCAGGCCUGCACAGUACGAACGAUAUUAUACUAAAAUGUGUUUCAACAUAUCUUGCACACUGCAUUGUUCUCCAGUAUCAAAGAUCAAUUUAACGAACGCUAACAUCGGCACGGAACUAUUGCACUGCAUCCAUCCAAUGUAAACGGACCAACCAGCUCCAAGUACCUAGCUAUAAUUUCACCUACGCAAGGCCGAGCCUUUGCUGGACAAAGUACAACGAGCGACGAUGGAGCAUAAAGCCUUUGUGAAAUAUGCUUCAGAUGCGUGCUGCGGAAUGCCUUUGGAAAACAGAUACCGAGUAAAGUUCAAACAAACAGGUGAUUCAGACGUUCUGAAGAUGGACAAGGGUUCUUCAAGAACGUUUCUCAGCCUAGGGGGUCUCUGACAGCGAUAACAGGAUGGACGAGGAACAAAGUGCCUCUCACGAUUCGUUUGGCAGUCAGAAGUUGUUCAUCAUGAGGGGUAAACUAAACAAGUUAUCAUAAGAUUGCGGAAAUCUGGCCGACGUAAGAGACUAGAACAGUAGCACAACAAGUUCUGAAUCUUCGAUCACGACAGUCCACGUUUGACCACUUACGAAAUGGUUUUUUCAAAAAAAAAAAAAAACACAGAUCUAUGCGCUG